AUUGAACGCUGGCGGCAGGCUUAACACAUGCAAGUCGAGCGAGCGGCGGACGGGUGAGUAAUGUCUGGGAAACUGCCUGAUGGAGGGGGAUAACUACUGGAAACGGUAGCUAAUACCGCAUACCAUCAGAUGUGCCCAGAUGGGAGUAGCUAGUAGGUGGGGUAAUGGGUCACCUAGGCGACGAUCCCUAGCUGGUCUGAGAGGAUGACAAGCCACACUGGAACGGAGACACGGUCCAGAGUCCUACGGGAGGCAGCAGUGGGGAAUAGUGCACAAUGGGCGAAAGCCUGAUGCAGCCAUGCCGCGUGUGUGAAGAGGGCCUGCGGGUUGUAAAGUACGUUCAGCGGGGAGGCGUUACUCGCAGAAGAAGCACCGGCUAACUCCGUGCCAGCAGCCGCGGUAAUUC
rnacentral:rRNA from 1 species